rnacentral:lncRNA from 1 species
ACAUUGACCAGAGCAUGACCUAAUGAAUUUCAGAAGGUCAAAGGAUAUAGAAUUCUCAUCAGCAUCCUAGCAACAUCCCCUGAGAAAGCAAUGACUGGUGGCAAUGGCUGAAUCAGGAACAGGGAACACACUAAACACACUGAGGAAAGACUUAAUGGAAAGUGUUGGAUUCGAUUUCAGCAGACUUGGACUAUAAUCCUGGAUCUUUGAGCAAGACACAAAAUUAUAG